CGUCUCAGUUCGGAUUGUAGUCUGCAACUCGACUACAUGAAGCUGGAAUCGCUAGUAAUCGCGAAUCAGAAUGUCGCGGUGAAUACGUUCCCGGGUCUUGUACACACCGCCCGUCACACCAUGGGAGCCGGAAAUGCCCGAAGCCAGUGACCCAACCUUAGGGAGGGAGCUGUCGAAGGUGGAGCCGGUAACUGGGGUGAAGUCGUAACAAGGUAGC
rnacentral:rRNA from 1 species